CUUGGUCAUUUAGAGGAAGUAAAAGUCGUAACAAGGUCUCCGUAGGUGAACCUGCGGAGGGAUCAUUAUAGAGUUCGUGCCCUUUGGGUACAUCUCUCACCCACUGUUCUUACUACGAUUGUUGCUUUGGCGGGCCGCUGGGCCCUGCCCGGCCGCCGGUUCCAGCUGGCUCGUGCCCGCCAGAGGAUCUCUAGACUCUGAAUAUUUGUGUCGUCCGAGGUACUAUAUAAUAGUUAAAACUUUCAACAACGGAUCUCUUGGUUCUGGCGUCGAUGAAGAACGCAGCGAAAUGCGAUAAGUAAUGCGAAUUGCAGAAUUCAGUGAGUCAUCGAAUCUUUGAACGCACAUUGCGCCCUGUAGUAUUCUACAGGGCAUACCUGUUCGAGCGUCAUAUCAACCCUCAAGCUUGGCUUGGUAUUGGACCUGGUCUAUACGGCCGGUCUUAAAGAUAGUGGCGGCCUUGCCUGGCUCUAAGCGUAGUACGGCUUUCGCUCUGGAGUCCUGUAGUGGCCUGCCGGAACCCCCCACUCCAUGUAGUUGACCUCGGAUCAGGUAGGGAUACCCGCUGAACUUAAGCAUAUCAAUAAGCGGAGGA
rnacentral:rRNA from 1 species